rnacentral:rRNA from 1 species
UACGGAGGGUGCAAGCGUUAUCCGGAUUUACUGGGUUUAAAGGGUGCGCAGGCGGAUAUGUAAGUCAGUGGUGAAAUCUCUAGGCUUAACCUGGAAAUUGCCGUUGAUACUAUAUAUCUUGAAUGUUGUGGAGGUAAGCAGAAUAUGUCAUGUAGCGGUGAAAUGCUUAGAUAUGACAUAGAAUACCUAUUGCGAAGGCAGCUCACUACGGAUAUAUUGACACUGAGGCACGAAAGCGUGGGGAUCAAACAGG